GCCAUAGCUCAGUGCUACAGCAUCUGCCUUGCAUGCAAAAGGUCCAAGGUUUAAUCCCUGGCAUCUCCA